CCUACGGGAGGCAGCAGGGGGGAAUAGUGCACAAUGGGGGAAACCCUGAUGCAGCGACGCCGCGGGAGUGAGGAAGGAUUUCGGUAUGUAAAGCUCUAGCAGCAGGGAAGAAAAUGACGGUACCUGACUAAGAAGCCCCGGCGAACGACGUGCCAGCAGCCGCGGUAAGACGUAGGGGGCAAGCGUGCUCCGGAGUUACGGGGUGUAAAGGGAGCGUAGACGGCUCAUCAAGUCAGAAGUGAAAACCCAGGGCUCAACUUUGGGACUGCUUUUGAAACGGAGUAGCUAGAGUGCAGUAGAGUUAAGCGGCAUUCCUAGUGUAGCGGUGCACUGCGUCGAUCUUAGGAGGCACCCCAGUGGCGACGGCGGCUUACUGUACUGUACCUGACGUUGCUGCUCG
rnacentral:rRNA from 1 species